rnacentral:pre_miRNA from 1 species
UCGAAGGCAUGAACGUUCGAAGGGAGAGUACUUUCCCCUAUAUAAAAAUAACUAGGAGAAAAUACUCUCCCUUCGAACGUUCAUACCUUCGA